rnacentral:tRNA from 1 species
CUGCUUAUAGCUCAGUUGGUAGAGCGCUCCACUGGAAAUGGAGAGAUCCCUAAUUUGAUACCAGGACCCUGGUUGGAUACCUGGACAGG